rnacentral:rRNA from 1 species
UACGAAGGGGGCGAGCGUUGUUCGGAAUUACUGGGCGUAAAGCGUGCGCAGGCGGUUUUGUAAGCCAGAUGUGAAAUCCCCGGGCUUAACCUGGGAAUGGCAUUUGGGACUGCAAGGCUUGAGUGCGGCAGAGGAGACUGGAAUUCCUGGUGUAGCAGUGAAAUGCGUAGAUAUCAGGAGGAAUACCGAUGGCGAAGGCAGGUCUCUGGGCUGACACUGACGCUCAUGCACGAAAGCGUGGGGAGCAAACAGG